rnacentral:RNase_P_RNA from 1 species
CGAGUCGGCAGGGCGGCCGCGGCGAUUCGAAAGAAAAGCCGAGGAAAGUCCGGACUCCACAGGGCAGGGUGGUUGCUAACGGCAACCCGAGGCGACUCGCGGGACAGUGCCACAGAAAGCAAACCGCCUUGGCCAACGGCCGAGGUAAGGGUGAAACGGUGGUGUAAGAGACCACCAGCACCCCGGGUGACCGGGGUGGCUAGGUAAACCCCACCCGGAGCAAGGCCAAGAGGGCGUUCAGAAAUGGACGCCUGCGCAGGCGAUCGAGGGCGGCCCGCCCGAGCCUGCGGGUAGGCCGCACGAGCCUGCCGGCGACGGCAGGCCCAGAUGGAUGGCCGCCACCCGGGAAUCCCGGGUACAGAAUCCGGCUUACAUGCCGACUCGUCCG